AUAUUUUAUCAUUUUAUAUUUUAUCUCCUUGUAUUUAUCAUUUGUAUUCUGUCCAUAUGUUGUAUGUUGCACCAAAACUAACAAGACAAAUUCCUAGUGCACAUUAGUGUACCUGGCCAAUUAAGUGAAUUCUGAUUCAGAUUCUUAUAUGGUGGAGGGAGAGGCAGUUGGGAUGAGAUUCUCCUUUGUAAGAUUUUUUCCAUGAAAAUGGUAGGGAUAGGCGUUCCCUUUAAAUGUACAAGUCCUAGAAUAUACUCAACAUUGCCUUCUAAGAUGAGGUGUUGCUAAAUUAAAAUAUUAAGUAUGCAAGAGACUAGGUGACCAUACAGCCUGCUUAGCAAUAUAGAUUUCCAUCCUGAAUGCCUUUUCUUGUUCUAGCUGCGUGUCUAUAAAGAUCACAGCUAAUAUUGUUCUGAGAUUUUCAAGGCAAGGAUGACAGAAUUUGAAUGAUGGUAGUAAAAACGCACCGAUUAUGGUGCUGGAGAGUGGUAAUGUUUUGUAUUCCGAUGAGCACAUGCAAGGAAUUUCACUGUGUUCUGUAAAAGGAGACAAUACAGACCCUAUAAACCUAUAGUUUUGCACCAGCUCUGUUUGAAUAACAAACUUUUCUCAAACAUUAUUGGAAUUAUUUUUUCCCCAUUUCAUUGUCCAGAGUGCAUGCAAAGUGUAGCAAUUGAAAAUCCUAAUAAAAUUAAAAGUACACUGUGCUCUCAGUAUUCUUUAUAA